AAGCGGUGGAGUAUGUGGUUUAAUUCGAUGCAACGCGAAGAACCUUACCUGGUCUUGACAUCCCGGAGACCCUUAGGAAACUAGGGGGUGCUUCCAUCUGGAAGAAUCUGGAGACAGGUGCUGCAUGGCUGUCGUCAGCUCGUGUCGUGAGAUGUUGGGUUAAGUCCCGCAACGAGCGCAACCCUUGCCUUUAGUUGCCAGCAGUUCGGCUGGGCACUCUAAAGGGACUGCCGGUGUUAAGCCGGAGGAAGGUGGGGAUGACGUCAAGUCCUCAUGGCCUUUAUGACCAGGGCUACACACGUACUACAAUGGCCGAUACAAAGGGCAGCGACACUGCGAGGUGAAGCCAAUCCCGUAAAAUCGGUCUCAGUCCGGAUUGGAGUCUGCAACUCGACUCCAUGAAGUUGGAAUCGCUAGUAAUCGUGGAUCAGCAUGCCACGGUGAAUACGUUCCCGGGCCUU
rnacentral:rRNA from 1 species